rnacentral:rRNA from 1 species
GACGAACGCUGGCGGCGUGCUUAACACAUGCAAGUCGAACGGAAAGGCCCUGCUUUUGUGGGGUGCUCGAGUGGCGAACGGGUGAGUAACACGUGAGUAACCUGCCCUUGACUUUGGGAUAACUUCAGGAAACUGGGGCUAAUACCGGAUAGGAGCUCCUGCUGCAUGGUGGGGGUUGGAAAGUUUCGGCGGUUGGGGAUGGACUCGCGGCUUAUCAGCUUGUUGGUGGGGUAGUGGCUUACCAAGGCUUUGACGGGUAGCCGGCCUGAGAGGGUGAACGGCCACAUUGGGACUGAGAUACGGCCCAGAAUGCUACGGGAGGCAGCAGUGGGGAAUAUUGCACAAUGGGCGGAAGCCUGAUGCAGCAGCGCCGCGUGCGGGAUGACGGCCUUCGGGUUGUAAACCGCUUUCGCCUGUGACGAAGCGUGAGUGACGGUAAUGGGUAAAGAAGCACCGGCUAACUACGUG